rnacentral:rRNA from 1 species
AGAGUUUGAUCAUGGCUCAGAGCGAACGCUGGCGGCGUGCUUAACACAUGCAAGUCGAACGAGUGUAGCAAUACGUUCGUGGCGAACGGGUGCGUAACACGUGGAUAACCUUCCUUCAGGUGGGGAAUAACCCAGUGAAAAUUGGGAUAAUACCGCAUAACACAGCGAGGGCUCAUGCUCUUGCUUUCAAAGGCGCAAGU